GGCGGACGGGUGAGUAGCGCGUGACCGACCUGCCCGCGAGUGGGGGCCAACCCCGGGAAACCGGGGCUGUUACCGCAUGAGUCCGGCCAUCGGUGGGGUGGUCGGGGAAAGCCAUCUUUCGGGGUGGCGCUGGCGGAGGGGGUUGCGUCCGAUUAGCUAGUCGGCGGGGUAACGGCCCACCGAGGCGACGAUCGGUCGCUGGUCUGAGAGGACGACCAGCCACAGGGGGACUGAGACACGGCCCCACACCUACGGGUGGCAGCAGCGAGGGAUUUUCGGCAAUGGGCGCAAGCCUGACCGAGCAACGCCGCGUGCGGGACGACGCCCCUCGGGGUGUAAACCGCUUUUGGUCGGGGCGAAGCUGACGGUACCGAUCGAAUCAGUCUCGGCUAACUACGUGCCAGCCGCCGCGG
rnacentral:rRNA from 1 species